UCGGGCCCAUACCCGGCCGUCGCCGGCAACGGGAGCCGCGANGNCUAGGCCGCGACGAGUAGGAGGNCCGCCGCGGUGCGCACGGAAGCCCGGGACGUGAGUCUGGGUGGAGNCCGCCGCG
rnacentral:rRNA from 1 species